rnacentral:antisense_RNA from 1 species
UAUAUAAAGCCUUGUGAGAUCCCUAUUUUGAAAUCCUUUUUGCAUCAAAAAGCCAGCAAUUGCUGCUUGUAAGAUUCUAUAUUGAUCCCAAUUAGGAUGUUCCUCAACAAAUUUAUUCAUAGCUUGUUGAAGGUUUUCAUGAAGGUCACAUUUAAAGCUAAUUAUUUCUUCUUUAUUGUUGAUAUUUUUUUGUUUAACAUCACAAUUUAAUUCUUGCAUAAUUCAAAUAGGGGGAAAAGAUCAAUAGGGCAUGGGAUCAGUUUUCUCUAAAAAAAGUAAAUAGUCAACUUUUUAAUAUUUAUAUAUGUCUCAUUCGUAUUAGAGAUGAGACCCCUUAAGAAGACUAAGUUUCUAUAGAAAUUUGUCUGAAUAACAUAAAUCUCAUUAAGUAAUAUAAAAAUUGCUUAAAAUUACAAGUUUUCCACAUAAGGUUGAUCUGCAAAUAUUUUUUUAGAAAUUAGCUGUGGAAAAGAUGU